AAAAGUCGGGAUUUAGAGCGUGGAAAAGGGAAAGUUUAGCGUUUGGCAAAACAACUCAGGAUUUGCCAAAUUACACGCGGAAAAUAUCGUGGAAAUUGCACAUCUAUAAUCCCGAGUUGAAAUUCCAUGGUAAUAGGCGGAAUUGUACAAUUCCCAACAGAGAGGGAAUUUUCAUCUUCUGCUUGCGAUAACCUAGCUUCUACCCGCCAAAAUUUUCAUCUUCUGCCCGCCAAAAAUUUCAUCUUCUGCCUACCAAAAUUUCAGGAAUAACCUAUCUUCUUCAAAGAGAACAAGCCUGCGCGCCAUGGGUAUUCUCUUGAUGGUGUUCUGCUAAGUUUUCUGGUGAGUUUCAGUUUUCAAUUUCUUUCCUUAUCGUUGGCCUCUUUUUUGUAUGCUAUAUUGAUUCUUUUCAUCUCUAGAACCAAGGUUUUGCUUUUAUUUUAUUUCUCCUCUCUGUUUUUCAAUCUGACAAGAAUAUUUGCUCUUCCAAUCAAGGUUAGAAAGACAGAGUGUAGAGACAUAUACAUACGCAAGGUCAAACUUUCUCACCUCCAUUCACCAAAUGCCUUUCUUCCUCAAGCGCCUCCGACUUUUCGGUA
rnacentral:lncRNA from 1 species